rnacentral:rRNA from 1 species
ACACGGAGGGCGCAAGCGUUGCUCGGAAUCACUGGGCGUAAAGCGGGUGUAGGCGGUCUAGCAAGUCAGAUGUGAAAGCCCACGGCUCAACCGUGGAAGUGCAUCUGAAACUGCUAGACUUGAGUGCCGGAGAGGGAAGUGGAAUUCCUGGUGUAGGGGUGAAAUCCGUAGAUAUCAGGAGGAACACCGGUGGCGAAGGCGACUUCCUGGACGGCCUCUGACGCUGAGACCCGAAAGCGUGGGGAGCAAACAGGAUUAGAAACCCCAGUAGUCC